rnacentral:rRNA from 1 species
CGUAGGUAACCUGCCUGGUAGCGGAGGAUAACUAUUGGAAACGAUAGCUAAUACCGCAUAAUAGCAGUUGUUGCAUGACAACUGUUUGAAAGGUGCAAUUGCACCACUACCAGAUGGACCUGCGUUGUAUUAGCUAGUUGGUGGGGUAACGGCUCACCAAGGCGACGAUACAUAGCCGACCUGAGAGGGUGAUCGGCCACACUGGGACUGAGACACGGCCCAG